rnacentral:rRNA from 1 species
GACGAACGCUGGCGGCGUGCUUAACACAUGCAAGUCGAACGGAAAGGCCCUGCUUUUGUGGGUUGCUCGAUUGCCGAACGGGUGAGUAACACGUGAGUAACCUGCCCUUAACUUUGGGAUAACUUCAGGAAACUGGGGCUAAUACCGGAUAGGAGCUCCUGCUGCAUGGUGGGGGUUGGAAAGUUUCGGCGGUUGGGGAUGGACUCGCGGCUUAUCAGCUUGUUGGUGGGGUAGUGGCUUACCAAGGCUUUGACGGGUAGCCGGCCUGAGAGGGUGACCGGCCACAUUGGGACUGAGAUACGGACCAGACUCCUACGGGAGGCAGUAGUGGGGAAUAUUGCACAAUGGGCGGAAGCCUGAUGCAGCAACGCCGCGUGCGGGAUGACGGCCUUCGGGUUGUAAACAGAUUUCGACUGUGACGAAGAGUGAGUGACGGUAAUGGGUAAAGAAGCAACGGCUAACUACGUG